GCAGAAGAACACUUAGCAAAGGAGACAAGAGGGUAGCAGUUUAGUGAUCAGGGACCAGGCCUCUAUAGCCUGGAUUGGGAAGAUGCAAUCCAUAUUGAAAAGAUCAGUGGAGAAAUGGAAGCCUGAAAGUAGGACAUAAUCAGGAACAUGGCCAGAAUUGUGUCCAGAAAGGUGAAUUAAGCAUUAUUUUUAGAGGCUUAAUACAUGUGAUGGAGGAGGAAGCUGAGGAAGAGAAAGAACAGGAGCACAAGAGGAUAAGGAAUGGAAGGAGGCUUUUCUGAAGACCAUUCAG
rnacentral:lncRNA from 10 species